UGAAACAAAUAUACCAAACAUAUAAUUUGUACAACAUAAAGUGAUCAAUAAAUUUUUAUAUGCUUCAAGCUUAGAAGAAAGAAGAUGGCAGAAAUUAUUAAGUUUAUUUAUUUAAUGGUCCUAUUUAUUUCAUUAUCUCUUAUUUUAACCAACUCUAUAGCCGGUAAAUAAUUUUUCUUAUUUAUUUGAACUUUCUUAUUUAAUUAUCUUAUACAAUAUCUUUCACCCCUUUCAAUAAUAUUUGUUUCUUCUUUUUUUAUAUCACAGUAUGGGAUAAAAACAUUUCGUGCAAGGAAAAUUCUGAUUGUUCAGGCUAUGUAUGUCUACCUUCUUAUGUUGCAAAAUGCUUGUCUUCUAGAUGUGAUUGUCGCCCAUUAAUUCAUUGCUAAGAGAUUGAUAUCUUAAUCUCUAGAGAUGCAGUUCAAAUCUCAACUAGAAUUGUUAUCAAAUGGUCAUUACAACAACCAUUAUUAUUAUUAUUAUUAUUAUUAUUAUUAUUAUUAUUAUUAUUAUUAUUAUUAUUAUUAUUAUUAUUAUUAUCUCCGGUCUUUAAUAUAAGAAAUAGUUCACUUUUUAGAUACAUUUAGAAAUUAAUGUACUUAAUCUAUGAUAUGGUCUAGAUACAAUAGUCUUUUAAUGUAUCUAGAAAGUGAAUUUUUUUCUUAUAUUAAGAAGUAAGAACUAGAGGGAAUAUUAAUUUUGCCUUUCCCAAUAAUUUAUUUUUAAAAAAUGUUAUUGUUGAUGACUGUAAUUAUAAUAGUUAAUUAAUUGUAUUUGCUUC
rnacentral:lncRNA from 1 species